rnacentral:rRNA from 1 species
AGUGAACGCUGGCGGUAGGCCUAACACAUGCAAGUCGAACGGCAGCACAGUAAGAGCUUGCUCUUACGGGUGGCGAGUGCGGACGGGUGAGGAAUACAUCGGAAUCUACUUUUUCGUGGGGGAUAACGUAGGGAAACUUACGCUAAUACCGCAUACGACCUACGGGUGAAAGCAGGGGAUCUUCGGACCUUGCGCGAUUGAAUGAGCCGAUGUCGGAUUAGCUAGUUGGCGGGGUAAAGGCCCACCAAGGCGACGAUCCGUAGCUGGUCUGAGAGGAUGAUCAGCCACACUGGAACUGAGACACGGUCCAGACUCCUACGGGAGGCAGCAGUGGGGAAUAUUGGACAAUGGGCGCAAGCCUGAUCCAGCCAUACCGCGUGGGUGAAGAAGGCCUUCGGGUUGUAAAGCCCUUUUGUUGGGAAAGAAAAGCAGCAGGUUAAUACCCCGCUGUUCUGACGGUACCCAAAGAAUAAGCACCGGCUAACUUCGUG